rnacentral:sRNA from 1 species
UGAACACCGUCAGGGCCGGGGCCGCGU